rnacentral:rRNA from 1 species
UACGGAGGGAGCUAGCGUUGUUCGGAAUUACUGGGCGUAAAGCGUGCGCAGGCGGUUUUGUAAGACAGGCGUGAAAUCCCCGAGCUCAACUUGGGAAUGGCGCUUGUGACUGCAAGGCUAGAGUAUGUCAGAGGGGGGUAGAAUUCCACGUGUAGCAGUGAAAUGCGUAGAGAUGUGGAGGAAUACCGAUGGCGAAGGCAGCCCCCUGGGACGUCACUGACGCUCAUGCACGAAAGCGUGGGGAGCAAACAGG